GGAUUUUCCAGAAAAACACUCUUUCUUCUUGCACAUAUCUGUAAACUGUUUUGUGACCCCCAACACUCUGCAUCUGGACUUUUAGUUCCAGGUUGACUUCUGCCUUGCUGCUAGAACCAGUUACUUGUGAAACUAGAACACAAGGACUGUGAGAUGAGAAGACCACAUUUGCCUCUUCUUGAAAUGCCUUGAAAAUCUUGUCUAAAAAUUCUUCUCAAAGAGUGAAAGAAAUGCAAGAGCUUAGAGAAAUGGAAUAGAAAUCUUAAGAAAAAAUGAUUCAGCUGAAAACUGAAACAAAGAACAGAAAAUAUGGAAAAGUAUGAAGACUGCAGUAUAUAAAAUAGACAUCUAGAAAAAUAAAA
rnacentral:lncRNA from 1 species